UCUCUCCUCUAAUCUCUCUCUGGUAGUAUUAGUAUUCUAAUCUAAAUUUUGCGAAAUUUUAAUCACCGGUUUAUACAUUGUGUGGUGCGUCCAUGUGCUUUUCGUCAACACAAAACAAAAACAAAAGAUAGUGUACGCAGUAAUGUUCAAAACUCUAUUAAUAUAAAAAUUGUAGUGUUAUAGUUAUUACGCAAAAAAAUGGAUUACAUUUUGGGUUAUCGAGAGGUUAUACCUGAUCAGACUUUACCAGAAAAAUGGAAAGAAAUCAUCCUGAAUACCGGAGGUAGCCAAAGUACUUUACAAGAUAUAAAAGUUCCAGAAAGAGCAGGCGGAUAUUCAUACAAAAAUCCAUCUAGAUAUAUUACUCGUAAUCGUUUUAUUUAUUGGCGAAUAACUCAUGAUGUAAUAGAACUUGUCGAAGAAAGUCUUGACAUUAACCUUAUAAACAAUCGCGUUAGGUACAAGUUUACUGAUACGCCAAUUUUAGAUGGGAUAUCAAUUCAUGAAACCUCUGAAAUAGUUAUAAUUUUAAUUAUUACAGUAUCAAGUAUACAUAAACUUUCAUUUACUCAUCCGAACAAAACUUACAAGGAAGAACAAACGGUCGUAUCACAUGUAGAUCGGACUAUGCAGUCUAUCUUUAGUGAAGCAUCUAUUCAUAAAGCCAGAGAUCCUCACACUUUUUAUAUAAUUCCAUCGUCUGGAUCAACUAACCCACCUGUGGCUCAUGCAGGAUCAUCUUGCUUAACAGUGCAUCAAGAUAAAGCUGUCUUUGCACUUGCUUACAAUUCAGGAGUAAUACUGGUAUUACGGCUAGAUAUAGUUACGGGCACAGUGAACUUUAGCGAACUUAAACAAGAAUCAACUGUUCCUCGCUUUUUAAGCGGCAUAGCAACUGCAUUCCGUAGCCGUACAUUAGAAAAUGAAAUAGCAACAUCAUUGGUUCUACAUACUCAUAAUAAUAAUGUUUACUUAUUCUCAAUUAGUCGAGGAGGAUACUUACGAAUGUGGUCAUGUAAUGAAGCUCAAUAUGUGACGGGAAUCGAUUUAGCUAUAAACAAUCGAGAUUCUAUUAGGAAUAUUCAAAACUGCCUUUUGAAAAACUCUAUAAUAUUACACCAUGAAAUUUAUCUGUGCACCUAUAUAAAAUACAUUACAGGUUGUGAAUUUGCAAUUUUGAAAGUUGUUAAAGAUGCUGGAUUUCUGAAGUUUAUACGACAUUGCACAAUAGAUGCACUAGAUCAACACCUAGUGGAUUAUUCUUUUUCAGAAACUCGAAUUUGGGCCUUAUGGCGAACAACUGAAGUAGAUGCGAUUGCUGUAACCCAUGUAGGAGUACCAUUACAAAGUGCUGAUAGAAAUAGCGAAUGGGAACCAGUUGUUCUAAUACAAUCUUCUGAUAGAGAUUAUGUAAUUAGCGAUGGCAGCAGUAUAGAUCCUAGACAAGCAUACAUUGAUUACAUAUUUCAUCCUGGAAAGUUUUCCUUGAAGGAUAUUAUUCGUGCUCUGAGUAUUUAUCGAAAAUUAAAUCAUUUGGGAGAUAUGCAUUUAUCGCCUACUGCCCUAAAAGAAAAGGUGUGCUUGGCUGUUGAAGCAGAAAUUCAAAAUGAAGUUAUGGAUUAUGAAUUAAUGGAUGAAGAUUAUUUGGAAAUAGUCAAUCGUUGUUGGUCAAAAUUUUAUUCGUGUGUUCUUCAAUAUCAUAUAAAUAAAUCUCGACCAGUUGGAUUGGUUUUAUUACCAGACGUUUUGGGUGUUGUGCUUUUAAAAAAAUCUUCAUUUUCAUUACUUCGACCUAUGGAAGUUAUAGAACACAUGAUGUUGUGUAAUGAAAAUACGCAUUUUACACGAUUUAACAUUUCACCUGCUCUUUCACAAGAUGAAAAUAUCUGUCAAGAUUUAAUUACUUUAACAUCAGCGUUAACAUAUUUAGAGCAGCGUAUGAUAGACGAUGUAAAAUCCAAUUUUGAAAAACAAUUGUAUUAUUUAAAAAGUCCGGAUAUUAUCGUCGAUAAUUUGUCAGAACUAUUAUUAGAUACCGAUGAAUUUACAGAUUUAGAUUUUAAAUCUGGAUUGCUCCAUAUACUUGAAAAUAUUAAGGACAUCGCAAGUGCAAUGGCAAUGCUCUUAGAAUUUAUGACAUAUAAUCUUAGUCAGCCCAAUCCAUCAAAGUUGAGAACAAGUGAUGGCAUUGAUAAGACAACCUUAGCGAAUAGUGAAUUUUUAUUUGGUAGUGAUUUGGGAACAUCAACAAUAGCAGAAAGCGUAACGCAAAUAGCUGUUUUACGUUUUUCUAUGUGUCGUAAUCUACUUAUUUUACAAAAUAUUAUUCUAUCUCGCUCUGAAAUACUUGAUUCUUAUUCUUUGCAUACUAUUAAAUCGUCCUUAGCACCUAGGACCGUUGUGUUAACUCAAGCAUAUUACGUUAUUAUGUGGAUAUCAGAAACGAGCACAUCCGUAGUACCAUCGCAAUCGCUAGUCAAUGCCAGUGCCCAGAGACUUUUACUGUUGAAAUUAUUUGGCGCUACACCACAUACACAACACCAAAAUCGGUCGUUUACUAUAUUAGAGUUAUUUGUAAAGUAUGGAGCAAAACAUCAAAUUUAUGAUUUAAUAGACCACUCAAACUCAUACUCAUCAAAUUUGAAACUUUGGCAUAAUGGUUUGCUGUCGUAUAUAAAUACGAUUUCUCAGUUAAUUUGGCCAAUUUCUGGUAAUUUCGAGUUUCCAGAGUGGCUUUUAAAAAGUUGCCAAUUUCUUUUAGUGCAAGAAUAUGUUCGUUUACUGAGUACAUGGUGUGAAUGGAACAGUGCUUCAAGAAAGUUUAUUCUUGCUGUUAGUUUACUUGAAGUAGGAGAAACUGAAAAGGCGUGUGAUUAUUUUUUACGAGCUUCAAAUGGUGUUUUAGUAGAUUCAUUUUUAUCAAGUUUAAUAACGUCUUCUAACACAGCAUCUGACAGUAGCGCUCUAGUUCUCUAUUAUUUAAAAGUUAUUGAAAUAUUUGAACAACACAAUGCUUUUGAUUGCAUAAUUGAAUUGGCAAUGACAGCUAUCGCUGUUGCUGAAACUAACGAGCCUAAUCUUCCGACACUUCAUUCUAUCGUUUUUACACAACACCUUCAUUUGCAGCAUCACAUUGAAGCAUAUAAUUGUCUUAAUACUAAUCCAGAUAAUCAACGUCGAGUCGAUUGCUUGAGACUACUGGUCCUUGCUUUGUUCAAUCGAAAAAAAUUAAUUGAAUUAGCAUCAUUUCCUUAUGUUGAUAUGUAUACUGAUCUAGAAAAAAUAAUGGAAUCUCGAGCUCGCAGUGCUGAUUUACUAGAAAAUAAUUAUUACGAUUUUUUAUACAGUUUUCAUAUUAACAAAGGAAACAUCAGAAAAGCGGCAUCAAUUAUGUACGAGCAAGCUAUUCGACUAGGACAAGAAUCUUAUUCCUUAUUAACGAUUUCAAAAAUUACUCAUUGCCUAUUAUCUUGUAUCAAUGCCUUACAUCUUGUCAAUGAAAAAUAUAGAUGGAUAGUUAGACCUGUUAUGCAUGCAAAUUCUUCAGAGGAAGAAAAAAAUCUUACUAAAAAUAGGUCAGAAUUAGAAGAAGAAAUUUUACAGUUUAAUUUAAAAAAACAAAUAGAAGUUUUGGAAUUGAAAGAUAUAAAAAAAGAAUAUAUUCUAGCCGAAGCAAAAUUAAAACUUAUCAAAUUUAAUCCAGAUCAUUGUUUAGCAACACAAACGUGUCCAUCAGAAAUUGCUGCCGCUUUAUGCAGUGCUGGUUUAUAUCUGAAGGCUUUACAAAUUUGCGAGUGUUAUAAACUAUGUAAAAUUAUUGUCAUAGAAAGUUUAACAUCACAAUGUAUAAAAUACUGUAAAAAAGACGCUACAAAAGUUUGGAAAUGGUUACAUCGUGAUAACAUUAAUGAUUUUGGUGUAUCUACGUUAAAUGCAGUUGAUAUGUCUUGGAAUGUAUUAAAACAUUUUACUUUAACUCAAGAAAAUUAUGGUGAAAGCAUAUUGCAUAAAGAAGUAUCCAGAAAACUCUAUCAUCGAGGUUUAUUUCUUCCACAAUGGCUCUUAUCUUCGUACGCAUAAUAUUUUGCUUGAGAAGAGUGACUUGUAUCAUUGGAAGUCCUAUACACGGGAACUGCAAGCUGAAUCGAACAUCAAUGUGGCCAACGUUACCAGCGGCACUCAGAGACAAUGUUAGUUCGAAAAUGUGAUUAUCCCAGAAACGAAAUCCAGCAGAACUUCUUCGGUUAAUGAUACUAAUGGGAAGAUUAGAAGAAGCUGCAUAUUUUUCCAUUGAAUACAUAAAAGGGCAUCUAGGAAAGGGUACGGAAUAUUUUGGUUUGAAAACACCUUUGAUAGCUACUGGUCCUUCUGUAUGUCUUCCAUGUAAUAUUUUAGAAAUUUUAUUAAUAGAACUUGAACAUGCAAGUAAGGAGGAUGAAGCUUAUAAAGAGGUGUGGGAUUUUGUUCGCAAAGUAUACAGGCGUAUUUUGACACCACGAUAGAGAUUGAUUACUCGGUUAUUAUUUCAAUCCAAUAGACGGAAAGGAAGGAUGACCUCGCCUGUGUACUCAUCAUUGCAGCUACCUUAAAAUUCAUAAGCUCCUGCAGGAUACAUUAAUAAAAUAUUUCAAGACUGUAAAGCGUGUAUCAGAAGAUAUGAUUAGAAUAAAAACACGCAAUUAUUAAAAAUUUGUUUUACAAAUGUAAAAAAUU